rnacentral:rRNA from 1 species
UACGUAGGGUGCAAGCGUUAAUCGGAAUUACUGGGCGUAAAGCGUGCGCAGGCGGUUAUGCAAGACAGAUGUGAAAUCCCCGGGCUCAACCUGGGAACUGCAUUUGUGACUGCAUGGCUAGAGUACGGUAGAGGGGGAUGGAAUUCCGCGUGUAGCAGUGAAAUGCGUAGAUAUGCGGAGGAACACCGAUGGCGAAGGCAAUCCCCUGGACCUGUACUGACGCUCAUGCACGA